rnacentral:rRNA from 1 species
UACGAAGGGGGCUAGCGUUACUCGGAUUGACUGGGCGUAAAGGGCGCGUAGGCGGUUUGUACAGUCAGACGUGAAAUUCCUGGGCUCAACCUGGGGGCUGCGUUUGAUACGUGCAGACUUGAGUUCGGAAGAGGGUCGUGGAAUUCCCAGUGUAGAGGUGAAAUUCGUAGAUAUUGGGAAGAACACCGGUGGCGAAGGCGGCGACCUGGUCCGAAACUGACGCUGAGGCGCGAAAGCGUGGGGAGCAAACAGG